rnacentral:lncRNA from 1 species
AAAGUGUUCCCGCAUUAUACUGGUGGGCGACCUAGAACUUAAAAAUGUAUUCCCGUAUUAUACUGGUGGGCGACCUAGAACUAAAAAGUAUUCCCGCAUUAUACUGGUGGGCGACCUAGAACUUAAAAGUAUUCCCGCAUUAUACUGGUGGGCGACCUAGAACUUAAAAGUAUUCCCGCAUUAUACUGGUGGGCGACCUAGAACUUAAAAGUGUUCCCGCAUUAUACUGGUGGACGACCUAGAACUUAAAUGUAUUCCCGCAUUAUACUGGUGGGUGACCUAGAACUUAAAAGUGUUCCAAUUGUUUCCCCGUUCUUCCGAGAAAAUUUUCGACAAUCGGCAGAAA